CAAAGACACGGGGUGCUCUCGUGGGCGGAGCGAGAGAAGCCGGGACUAUUUUGGGAGCAGAGGCCAGUGUGGGUGGGAGCCGCACCCCCUCCCUGCACUGGCCGGCUUUCCCUGAGCCAGGGAUUCUUUGGAUCUCAGCUCCCCGUCCCUUGCCUCCUGCCUUUUUGACCGGCAGUGACCGAUGCCAAUUAGAGGAGGAACGGCUCGGGGACAUGUGGCACCGAUCGCACGAUUGUCCACCUUCCGUUCGGAUGCAGCAGGAGGGGCUUCCACCACCGUUUCCAGGAGCUCUGAGCCUCGGCUCAGCCCCACCAGCAAAAGCUUUCAGGACAUCUCUUCACUCUUCAGGCGCUGUGAAAAGUCACGGUGAUUCGGGGUCUUCACCCUCAUGGACACAGCCAAGGGCAGAAAUAUCCACCCUCCUCUGAACAGCGUCUCACUCAGCUCUGCCCACCCACCGGAUAGCAGCUCCCCGACCUCCUGCUGGUCCUGCCCUGAGCCCUCACCCAGCGAGCACCCUGGGGAGCAGCCCCGGAAAGCCGGCCCCAAAUAACCAGCCCCGAACCAGGUCAGCCUUCCCCUCCUGUUUUAGAACAACCCAGCCAGGCUUGAUCCCGUUGGGAGCAGCACACGCUCAGGUCUCUCCUGGGCUCACUAAUUUGGUAGGACCCUGCGACUCUCCCAGCAGGCAACUAUGCGUGGCAGGGAAAAGUUUUCAGAAUUUCAGGCCCUUUGAUGGAAAAAGUCUGCCUAAUAAAUAAUUGAGAGAGCCCCGGCUUCCUGAGAAC
rnacentral:lncRNA from 12 species